rnacentral:rRNA from 1 species
GACGAACGCUGGCGGCGUGCUUAACACAUGCAAGUCGAACGGAAAGGCCCCUUUGGGGGUACUCGAGUGGCGAACGGGUGAGUAACACGUGAGUAACCUGCCCUUGACUUCGGGAUAACUUCAGGAAACUGGGGCUAAUACCGGAUAGGAAUCCUUGCUGCAUGGUGGGGGUUGGAAAGCUUCGGCGGUGUUGGAUGGACUCGCGGCUUAUCAGCUUGUUGGUGGGGUAGUGGCUUACCAAGGCUUUGACGGGUAGCCGGCCUGAGAGGGCGACCGGCCACAUUGGGACUGAGAUACGGCCCAGACUCCUACGGGAGGCAGCAGUGGGGAAUAUUGCACAAUGGGCGGAAGCCUGAUGCAGCAACGCCGCGGGCGGGAUGACGGCCUUCGGGUUGUAAACCGCUUUCAGCAGGGGCGAAGCUUGUGGUGACGGUACCUGCAGAAGAAGCACCGGCUAACUACGUG